UCCCUGGUGGUCCAGGGGCUGAGACCUCACACUCCUAAUGCAAGGUGCCCAGGUUCAAACCCUGGUCAGGGAA
rfam:TPA: Bos taurus chromosome 9, whole genome shotgun sequence.